rnacentral:rRNA from 1 species
AGCAGCCGCGGUAAUUCCAGCUCCAAUAGCGUAUAUUAAAGUUGUUGCAGUUAAAAAGCUCGUAGUUGAAUUUCGGAACCAAUAUGUCGGUCGUGCCUCGGUACGUACUGGUGUCAUUGGUUUCUCCCUUCUGAGGAUCCUUGAUGUCAUUAAUUUGGUGUCUUGGGGAAUCAGGACUGUUACCUUGGAAAAAUUAGAGUGUUUAAAGCAGGCAUACGCUUGAAUACAUUAGCAUGGAAUAAUGAAAUAGGACGUUCGAUUCUAUUUUGUUGGUUUCUAGGAUCGACGUAAUGAUUAAUAGGGAUAGUUGGGGGCAUUAGUAUUCAAUUGUCAGAGGUGAAAUUCUUGGAUUUAUUGAAGACUAACUACUGCGAAAGCAUUUGCCAAGGAUGUUUUCAUUAAUCAAGAACGAAAGUUAGGGAUCGAAGACGAUCAGAUACCGUCGUAGUCUUAACCAUAAACUAUGCCGACUAGGGGACCGGAUGAUGUUAAUUUUUAUGACUUCAUUCGGCGCCUUACG